GUUGCUUCUCGACCUUUUGUCUAAGAUCAAGUGUAGUAUCUGUUCUUAUCAGUUUAAUAUCUAAGAGGAUUUCCGGCUAUAUCUCCGGUACUAUCAGAAACAAGGUCUGUGAGCUCCGCGGCCCCGUUCUGAGCUCACACCAU
rnacentral:snRNA from 1 species